GAGUUUGAUCCUGGCUCAGGACGAACGCUGGCGGCGCGCUUAACACAUGCAAGUCGAACGGAGUCCUUCGGGGCUCAGUGGCGAACGGGUGCGUAACACGUGAGCAACCUGCCUGGUCGUGGGGGAUAACCAGUGGAAACGCUGGCUAAUACCGCAUGAGCUCUUUGGCUCGAUUGGGCUGGAGAGGAAAGCUCCUGCAAGGGAGUGCGACCAGAGGGGCUCGCGGCGUAUCAGCUAGUUGGAGGGGUAACGGCCCACCAAGGCGAUGACGCGUAGCCGAUCUGAGAGGAUGAUCGGCCACAUUGGGACUGAGAUACGGCCCAGACUCCUACGGGAGGCAGCAGUGGGGAAUCUUGCGCAAUGGGCGAAAGCCUGACGCAGCGACGCCGCGUGCGGGAGGAAGCUUUUCGGAGUGUAAACCGCUGUCAGAGGGGAAGAAAUGUCCUGGGAGGAAAUGCCCGGGAUUUGACGGUACCCUCAAAGGAAGCACCGGCUAACUCUGUGCCAGCAGCCGCGGUAAUACAGAGGGUGCGAGCGUUGUUCGGAAUUACUGGGCGUAAAGCGCGCGCAGGCGGCCCUUUAAGUCUGUCGGUCAAACGCCGGGGCUCAACCCCGUGCUCGCCGGAGAUACUGGAGGGCUGGAGACAGGUAGAGGCAGGCGGAAUUCCGGGUGUAGCGGUGGAAUGCAUAGAGAUCCGGAAGAACACCAGAGGCGAAGGCGGCCUGCUGGGCCUUGUCUGACGCUGAGGCGCGAAAGCGUGGGGAGCGAACAGGAUUAGAUACCCUGGUAGUCACGCCGUAAACGAUGGGCACUAGACGCGGGGGGGAUCGACCCUCUCCGUGUCGAAGCUAACGCGAUAAGUGCCCCGCCUGGGGAGUACGGCCGCAAGGCUGAAACUCAAAGGAAUUGACGGGGGCCCGCACAAGCGGUGGAGCAUGUGGUUUAAUUCGAAGCAACGCGAAGAACCUUACCUGGGCUUGACAUGCACGUGAAAUCCUCGUGAAAGCGGGGACCUCCUUCGGGACGCGUGCACAGGUGCUGCAUGGCUGUCGUCAGCUCGUGUCGUGAGAUGUUGGGUUAAGUCCCGCAACGAGCGCAACCCUUAUCCUGUGUUGCCAGCAUUUAGUUGGGGACUCGCAGGAGACUGCCGGGGUCAACUCGGAGGAAGGUGGGGAUGACGUCAAGUCAUCAUGCCCCUUAUGCCCAGGGCUGCAAACACGCUACAAUGGCCGGUACAGAGGGCUGCGAUCCCGCGAGGGUGAGCGAAUCCCACAAAGCCGGUCUCAGUUCGGAUUGGAGGCUGCAACUCGCCUCCAUGAAGCCGGAGUUGCUAGUAAUCCCGGAUCAGCACGCCGGGGUGAAUACGUUCCCGGGCCUUGUACACACCGCCCGUCACACCACGAAAGUCGGUAACACCCGAAGCCGGUGGCCCAACCCGUAAGGGAGGGAGCCGUCGAAGGUGGGAUCGGUGAUUGGGGUGAAGUCGUAACAAGGUAGCCUCAGUCAGUCAA
rnacentral:rRNA from 1 species